rnacentral:rRNA from 1 species
AAACUACGAAAGGAAUUGACGGGACCCGCACAAGCGGUGGAUGAUGUGGUUUAAUUCGAUGCAACGCGAAAACCUUACCCACCUUUGACAUGUACGGAACCCUUUAGAGAUAGAGGGGUGCUCGAAAGAGAGCCGUAACACAGGUGCUGCAUGGCUGUCGUCAGCUCGUGUCGUGAGAUGUUGGGUUAAGUCCCGCAACGAGCGCAACCCUUGUCAUUAGUUGCUACAUUCAGUUGGGCACUCUAAUGAGACUGCCGGUGACAAGCCGGAGGAAGGUGGGGAUGACGUCAAGUCCUCAUGGCCCUUAUAGGUGGGGCUACACACGUCAUACAAUGGCUGGUACAAAGGGUUGCCAACCCGCGAGGGGGAGCCAAUCCCAUAAAGCCAGUCGUAGUCCGGAUCGUAGUCUGCAACUCGACUACGUGAAGUCGGAAUCGCUAGUAAUCGUGGAUCAGAAUGUCACGGUGAAUACGUUCCCGGGUCUU